rnacentral:rRNA from 1 species
AACGAACGCUGGCGGCAGGCUUAACACAUGCAAGUCGAACGGUUGCAGCAAUGCAGCAGUGGCAGACGGGUGAGUAACACGUGGGAACCUUCCUAGGGGUACGGAACAACUCAGGGAAACUUGAGCUAAUACCGUAUACGUCCGUGAGGAGAAAGAUUUAUCGCCCUUAGACGGGCCCGCGUCGGAUUAGCUAGUUGGUGGGGUAACGGCCUACCAAGGCGACGAUCCGUAGCUGAUCUUAGAGGAUGAUCAGCCACACCGGGACUGAGACACGGCCCAGACUCCUACGGGAGGCAGCAGUGGGGAAUCUUGGACAAUGGGCGCAAGCCUGAUCCAGCCAUGCCGCGUGAGUGAAGAAGGUCUUCGGAUUGUAAAGCUCUUUUACCAGGGACGAUAAUGACGGUACCUGGAGAAUAAGCCCCGGCAAACUUCGUGCCAGCCGCCGCCGUAAAAC